rnacentral:rRNA from 2 species
CACGAGAGUGCCGUCGCAAGAGGAGCCUGGAGACAGGUGCUGCAUGGCUGUCGUCAGCUCGUGUCGUGAGAUGUUCGGUUAAGUCCGCUAACGAGCGCAACCCUCGCUGUGUGUUAUAUGUGUCACAUGGGACUGCCGGGCCGUUUAAGCCGGAGGAAAGGUGGGGAUGAUGUCAAGUCAGCAUGGCCUUUAUGUCCUGGGCUACACACACGCUACAAUGGUCAGCACAAUGGGUCGCUAAGCCGCAAGGUGGAGCCAAUCCUCAAAGUUGGCCUCAGUUCAGAUUGUAGGCUGCAACUCGCCUGCAUGAAGAUGGAGUUGCUAGUAAACGCAGGUCAGCUAUACUGCGUUGAAUACGUUCCCGGGGCUU